UUCCUCGUGGCCCAAUGGUCACGGCGUCUGGCUACGAACCAGAAGAUUCCAGGUUCGACUCCUGGCGGGGAAG
rnacentral:tRNA from 6 species